GGGACCGGUGACUGAGUGGCGGACGGGUGAGUAACGCGUGGGUAACCUGCCCUGUACAGGGGGAUAACAGUUAGAAAUGACUGCUAAUACCGCAUAAGCAUACGAGGAGGCAUCUCCUUGUGUGAAAAACUCCGGUGGUACAGGAUGGGCCCGCGUCUGAUUAGCUAGUUGGCAGGGUAAGGGCCUACCAAGGCGACGAUCAGUAGCCGGUCUGAGAGGAUGAACGGCCACAUUGGAACUGAGACACGGUCCAAACUCCUACGGGAGGCAGCAGUGGGGAAUAUUGCACAAUGGGGGAAACCCUGAUGCAGCAACGCCGCGUGAGUGAUGAAGUAUUUCGGUAUGUAAAGCUCUAUCAGCAGGGAAGAUGAUGACGGUACCUGACUAAGAAGCUCCGGCUAAAUACGUGCCAGCAGCCGCGGUAAUACGUAUGGAGCAAGCGUUAUCCGGAUUUACUGGGUGUAAAGGGUGCGUAGGCGGUCUGGCAAGUCAGAUGUGAAAUGCCGGGGCUCAACCCCGGAGCUGCAUUUGAAACUGCUGGACUGGAGUACAGGAGAGGCAGGCGGAAUUCCUAGUGUAGCGGUGAAAUGCGUAGAUAUUAGGAAGAACACCAGUGGCGAAGGCGGCCUGCUGGACUGUUACUGACGCUGAGGCACGAAAGCGUGGGGAGCAAACAGGAUUAGAUACCCUGGUAGUCCACGCCGUAAACGAUG
rnacentral:rRNA from 1 species